UGGGGGAUAUUGCACAAAUGGGGGGGAACCCUGAUGCAGCGACGCCGCGUGGGUGAAGAAGCGCCUCGGCGCGUAAAGCCCUGUCAGCAGGGAAGAAAAUGACGGUACCUGAAGAAGAAGCCCCGGCUAACUACGUGCC
rnacentral:rRNA from 1 species